rnacentral:rRNA from 1 species
GAUGAACGCUGGCGGCGUGCCUAAUACAUGCAAGUCGAGCGAACGGACGAGGAGCUUGCUCCUCUGAUGUUAGCGGCGGACGGGUGAGUAACACGUGGAUAACCUACCUAUAAGACUGGGAUAACUUCGGGAAACCGGAGCUAAUACCGGAUAAUAUUUUGAACCGCAUGGUUCAAUAGUGAAAGACGGUUUUGCUGUCACUUAUAGAUGGAUCCGCGCUGCAUUAGCUAGUUGGUAAGGUAACGGCUUACCAAGGCAACGAUGCGUAGCCGACCUGAGAGGGUGAUCGGCCACACUGGAACUGAGACACGGUCCAGACUCCUACGGGAGGCAGCAGUAGGGAAUCUUCCGCAAUGGGCGAAAGCCUGACGGAGCAACGCCGCGUGAGUGAUGAAGGUCUUCGGAUCGUAAAACUCUGUUAUUAGGGAAGAACAAAUGUGUAAGUAACUAUGCACAUCUUGACGGUACCUAAUCAGAAAGCCACGGCUAACUACGUG